AUUCAUGCUGUUUGGCUGAUCGAUGGCCAUGAGUGUUCCAUGUGUCUGUGGCUUUAUCUCUUCUCAUGGUAUUCACAUCAGCAGCAAGUAACAUUAGAAGAAUAAAGUCUCUUAGGCUUUAUAUUAAGAAUUCAAUUAUUCUGUAUAAUUGGCCUUGAUUUGUUAAAUAUUUGAAACAUUUUCUGCUCUUAGGUAUGGAAUAGUGUACUGGAGUGAUCAAAACCACAAAUAACUUGUACCUUUACUCAGAAAAUGCUUUUUUUAUCAAAUAGUAAGGAAGAUUAAGCCUAAGUCUCUCUCUUUUUCUAUUUGGAUUUUAUUCCUACAAGAAAUAUCACUUUUGUCCAGAAUCUCUCAUGUAUUUCUGUUCCCUUGAAAUACAAAGAGGCAAUGGAUUCUGGUAUAAAUUAGGUAGAUUUAAUGAAAUUUAUGAGUCGUAACUUGUGCUUUGAAUGUAAAAUACUUGAACGGGGCAUUAAGGUAUUUUUCUGAUGCCAUUAUUGUCACCUGUCUGGUUUUUUCAUUCUUCUGUGCCUGUUUUUGAAACACUUAGGAGCUGUGGAUUCUUGGGAAUAACAGUUUCUGUAUGCCAUAUGUAGAAAAUCUUCCCAAGGUCAUAUUUUUCUUUUUUUUUUUUAAAACAGUGUCUUCUUUAAAAGAAGCAGGGAAGAUCUACCCUGCAAAAUGAGAAAGUGGUAUUACUUCCACACUGAGAAGCUGGCUGUUACCUCAUAUAUCUGCCACUUUCCCAUUUAAUGAGAAAGUGAUUUAUCAUCUGGUGUCAGACAACAUCAAAAUGUUACUGCUCAGUAUCACUGAUUUUGAACUGCUAGAACUGCAGUAUUACUGUGCAUUAAGUAAUCAAGAAGAAGAGCAAAAUUCAGCCUUGACAAAGGGAAAUUAACCUCAUGAAUGUUUGUGAGUAAUAAAAAG
rnacentral:lncRNA from 1 species